UUAUGAUGUGGGUUCUCAUAAAAAUUUCACUCCCCCCAAAGCCACCCAAAGGAAAGGCAGUGAAAUGGGGAGGAACACACAUUUGCCUGGCAUCGCAAGAGCUGCCUUGUAGUCAUGGGUUCCAGUGAUCUUGGACCGAUCUCUUCACUUCCCUGGACCUCAGUUUCUUCCAUACAAAGAAGUUGAACUGGAUCAUAGAAAAGAUGCUGUCCAGCUUGGUAAUAUCAGAUAGGGAGCAGAAGCUGUCUCUUAGCACAUGGCCAGAUUCCGGAACAACGAUGAUGGUCUCCAUGUUUGUCCUAAAAAUGCAUCUCAUCUCAGUAGAGAUUUUCUUCCACCUCAUUUGGGUCUCAAUUUAAGGAAGGAAGAAAGGAAAGAAACCCGGGGAUUCUCUUCUUGAAAGGAAUAUACUUCACUUUCUCUAGGCUUCUAGGAUAAAAACUUCCUAUCCUUCAUUUUUCCUCUUUAAACCUGCCAAAAUCAAGUUGAGUAAAGAUACCAUACAGAUAUGAAAAAGAAGCCACAUCCUUAAAUUUUCAUGGAGUCCAAGAGCCUGCUCACCGCCAGUUAGCUUUUCCCAGGAUGGUGGUGGCACUGAUCAUCUAGGUUGCACUUUUAUGUUCAUGUCCCAGAGCGUUUCCCAUCAGCCAUCUCAUUUCAUCUUUUCAUCAUUCCUCUGAGGAAAAGACUUCACACAUGUAUAGGACUUUCUAUAUCACAAAGUAUUUCAUAUCCAAUGUCUUAUUUAGAUCUUGACAAUCACUGUUUAAGGUAAUUUGGCAAGUUAUUAAUACUCAUGUCCUCAUUUUACUGAAGAGGAAACUGAAAUGCAGAGAGCUUGUCUUUUGCCCAGGAUCACUCACCCAGUUUAUUGGGAGGCAGCAGCACGGGGAUUAAGAACAUGGGUUAUGCCGACAACCAACCAGGCAGAAUUCCAGCUCUGUCAGUAGUUAGCUGUCUGGCCUUAGGAAAGGGAUUUCACACCUCUGUGGCUUAGUUUCCUUGUCCAUUAAAUGCUCAUAAGAAUAGAGCUUUCCUCACAGAGAUUGGGUGGGCACGGGAGCUAAAUGAGCUCAUACGUUUAAGAACAACCUCUAGCACACAGUGCAUAAUAAAUGUCAUUAUUAUUAGCAAAGCCAGGACCUGGGUCUUCCAGCUUCUAGCUCAGUGGCAUUUCUGCUGCCCCACACCAGGACUAUCCUUCGUAUACAGGUAUGAACCUAAAGCCUUCAGUGUUUCAAUGAAAAGUUCACCCAAGGUCUUUCUGUUCAGUAAGUCUAGAGCUAAGGGCUCCUGGCACUCUGUUCAGUCCUUUCGCUGGUAAACCACGCUGCCCUCCGUUGCUCUGGGCAGAAUGUCAAACCUUCUUAUGUUUUUAAAAUUUAUAAAUCAAGCACUCUUAUUUAAUAUUACUGACAGCCCGAAGGCAGACGCUCCCACUCUCCUGGGGAAGAGGGUCUUCUAAUCUGCCAUCUUAAGGAGGUAAAAGGGCUUGAUUGGGUAACUCAUUGCAAUGGGCACGUAUUUAUUACUGUCUCCCGGCCUUUUCUCAUGCUGUUUGUCUGCUGGAAUUACCACUAGUGCCAGGCCAUUUGAAUAUUUGACCAUUUGUCUUAGAAUUCUCUGAAUACAAAUGUUUUUCAUACCUUUACUAUGUACUUUUUAAGAAUGAAGACUAUGUUGCAUGUUGGUUUGUACUCUCUCCUGCACAUAAAAAAUGCUUAGUAAAUAGAUACACAAAUGUUUCUUGAUUCCUAAAUUGAUUGACUGUUCGGGGAACUAAUGGUCACUUCUAAGUGGUUGACAGUUGUCUCUUCCCACCUCUUAGUCGCAAGUUUCAGAUGAUCAAAGAAUGCCUAGGUGGCAUUCAACAGUAUAUGCCUCCGUAAAGGUAGAAGGUUUAGGAGUCGUAUGUGCAAGAGUGGAAGAAGUUCUCCCUGCACACACAGGAGGCCAUCUGCUACAAAGCCUCAGAACCUGGCCUCUGCCCUGUCAGCCUGCAUGCUGCGUGCAUGGAAAAACAGGCCUGAGCCAGGGCUUACCCUGUCACCCAAAGUCCACUCCAUGUAGUAUGCCCGAAGCAAACAUGACCUUGUUCUACAGUUAAAAACAAAUGAAAGUCAUCUGCCGGGGUCACUUGGUAAUAAAGUCCUGCGACAGAAGGGGCUCUGCUUAAAGGGCAGCUCAGAUCCAGGCAUUAAAAUAACCUAAAUGGUGUCGUUUUCUGAUCAAAUUCCUUUCCCUGUCGGGUUUGUGAUUUUUGAGCCUGAGAAUGUCCCUCGCGGCUCAGGUUUCUCUGCUGUCACACUGAUCUCAGGCCUGGAAUGCAAGCACUGGCCAUUGAGGUCUGAUGUAACUAUGUCACAAUCCCAAAAUGGAGAGACAUUAUCUCAUAGAUGGUGCAGCAGGCGGGCACCAGUGUGCGGCUGGCAGGCACGGCUGAGAAUGCAGUCCUGGGCAUAUUCCACAUCCACAGUUCUCAGUGGACACAGGGUCUGAUGCCCGAGGCUCCAAGCCGUGCUCCAGGAAGUGUAUUUCAAGUUGAGCUCACGUUCCCAAGAUGCUGAGAUUCUUAUGUAGCUGACACCGGAGCUGAGGCUGAGCCCCAGCCAGGGAUAUCCAACGAUUGCCAGUAACACCACGGAACUGAGUGAAGAUUCAGGGGCUGAGUGUGUUCCUGAGUGCUUCAAACCGGGGGACCUGGAAACCAGAGGACUCCUGGGGAAAGGCUGUCAACUCCAGCCUGCUCUUCCUAAAUGGCCUUGUUAGUAGUGACUUCAGCCCUGGCGGUGAGGCAUGUGGGUCAGAAUAACAUUCCCUUUCUUUUCCCUUCACCUCUUUUUUCUCCACGGUUCCUUUUCAUAACUUCUUUAUUUGCUGCCUAGAGGAGCUUUCUGGACAUUUUGUCUCCAGGGAGCGUGACAUGUCACCUGUUUCUCACCUCAUAUGCCUCUGAUCUUCUACACCAAGGUAGCUAUAAAGGCUUGCUUUCUAGGCUGGGUUUCCCUGCACAGGCCCACUGAACCACUCAAACCUCAGAGGUGGAAGUGCCCAGCGGGCCUCAUGGUCAGCUGGGGAUAACGGAGUCAUUUUCGCAGCCCAACUUCUGAAAUUCCACAAGAGGGCGCCCAAG
rnacentral:lncRNA from 1 species